rnacentral:sRNA from 1 species
GAUAGCAGUGCUGUUUACAACUAAUUGAUCAUAACCAGUUGCAGAUUCCUUUGUUCCUUCUCCACUCGCACUGCUUCACUU